rnacentral:rRNA from 1 species
CACGAUAUGAAGGACGGAGUCGAGUGGGUUCGGCCCUCGGCGAACUGCUCAGUAACACGUGGAUAAUCUAACCUUAGGUGGAGCAUAACCUCGGGAAACUGAGAAUAAUACUCCAUAGAUCUUUGAGGCUGGAAUGCGCUUAGAUUGAAAGCUUCGGCGCCUAAGGAUGAGUCUGCGGACUAUCAGGUAGUAGUCAGGGUAAAGACCUGACUAGCCUACGACGGAUACGGGUUGUGAGAGCAAUAACCCGGAGAUGAUAUCUGAGACACGAUAUCAGGCCCUACGGGGCGCAGCAGGCGCGAAAACUUCACAAUGCGCGAAAGCGCGAUGAGGGGAUCCCAAGUGCUUGCACGUAAGUGUAAGCUGUUUUUCUGUCUAAAAAGCAGAGAGAGUAAGGGCUGGGUAAGACGGGUGCCAGCCGCCGCGGUAAUACCUGCAGCUCAAGUGGUGGCCGCUAUUAUUGGGCCUAGAACGUCCGUAGCCGGCUGAGUAAAUGCCUGGGUAAAUCGUGUGGCUUAACCAUACGAAUUCCGGGUAGACUGCUCAGCUUGGGACCGGAAGAAGUUAGAGGUACUCCUGGGGUAGGGGUGAAAUCCUGUAAUCCUGGGGGGGACCACCAGUGGCGAAGGCGUCUAACUAGGACGGGUCUGACGGUGAGGGACGAAGCCCCUGGGGCGCAAACCGGAUUAGAUACCCGGGUAGUCCAGGGUGUAAACGCUGCUUGCUUGAUGUUAGCUGGGCUCCGAGCUCGGCUAGUGUCGGAGAGAAGUUGUUAAGCAAGCUGCCUGGGAAGUACGGUCGCAAGACUGAAACUUAAAG